rnacentral:rRNA from 1 species
UACGGAGGGGGCUAGCGUUGUUCGGAUUUACUGGGCGUAAAGGGCGCGUAGGCGGCCCUCCUUGUCGCGUGUGAAAGCCCCGGGCUCAACCUGGGAAUUGCGCGCGAAACGGGCGGGCUUGAGUUCGGGAGAGGAGCGUGGAAUUCCCAGUGUAGAGGUGAAAUUCGUAGAUAUUGGGAAGAACACCGGUGGCGAAGGCGGCGCUCUGGACCGAGACUGACGCUGAGGCGCGAAAGCGUGGGGAGCAAACAGG